AAAAAAUAAAUGUUGAAGAAAAACCGAUAUAGUGAAAAGAUGAAAAUAUGGUCAGAAAAAAUCAAGGAAGUAGGAAAAUAGGAAAAAAUGAAUAUACGGACAAAAAAAUCGUAUAAUUGUUGAACUGUGAAAUACCUGCGCAAAAAAAAAAUGAGGAAGAGAAAAAGAACAAUCCAGAUAAUAGAUAAUAUGUUAAAAAAAUAGAGAAAGAAAUGGAGAAAAAAAUGGUGUUAGUGUCAAGGAAAAUAAAACAUGAAAAAAAUACAAGAAAGAGAAGAAGAGAAGAGAGAAAAAAAGUCGCAUAAUAAUUGUUCAUCUGUGAAAUACAUGAGCUAAAAAAAUAUUAGGAAGAAAAAAAGAUGAUUGUUAAAAGAAAAGAAAAUAAUCAAGAAAGGAAAAACUGGAGAAAAAAAAAGUAAGGAGAUAAGAAAAAACAAGAAAGGAAUAAACGGAGAAAAUAAGUCGAAUAAUUUGUUGAACGUGAAAAAAAAAAAUUGUAUUAGGAAGAUAUUAAAAAAAGAAAGGAAAAAAUGUUGAAAAAAAAUGUUAGUGUUAGCGAAAAAAAAGAAAGGAAGAAAUUAAGCAAAAAAAUGUCAAUCAGUGAAAUUUAGAUAAGAAAAAAGAAAGGAAGUAAUGAAGAGAAAAGUCAACGAAUGAGCUCCAGGGAAAUUAAUCGUAAUGAAAGGAAAUAAAGUAGAGGAAGAAAAAACCCUUAUAGAGGAGAGUCAGUCAGCAUCGAUUAAAAUGAUUAGGGUUGCGGAAAAUGACAAUGGUGGAAGCGAAGUUACAGAUGAAAGGAGGAGGAGGAGGAGGAGGAAGAAGAAGAGGAGGAGGAGGAGGAGGAGGGUUCUGCCGCUAGGAUAUCCGGAGACAAUAGGCGUAGGAUGAAGGCAAAGAAAGGAAAGAGGAAGGAAGGAAGAAAGGACGGUAGAAAUAAUAUAAAUUGAAAGAGUAAGGAAGGACAAUAAGGGAAAGAAAAUGGAAAUAACUAAGGAUGGAAAGAAGAGGGAAAGAAAACGAAGAGAGGAAUGGAGAAAACAAAGAAGGAAUGAUGAAUAGAAAGGAGGAAGGAAGGGAAGAAGGGAGGGAGGUAGGGAUGAAGGAAGAAAAGAAAGGAGAAAGAAAAAAACAAAGGGAUAAAAGGAGGGAGAGAGGAAGGAAGAAAGAAAGGAGGAAGGCCAUGUAGAGAAGGAAGAAAGGAAGUGAAGACAGGAAUAAAGAAAGAAAAAAAUGAUGGGAGAAAGAAAGAAGGAUAGACUAAAAUAAGAAAACAAAAUACUGAAAAAAAAGGCAGAGAUGAGGGAAAUAACUCGAAAGUCAAACAGCAAAAAAGAAAGAAAAACAUAAACAAAUGUACCCCCAAAAAAUAACAAUCGUAAAAAAAAAUAUCGAGAAAACUUGUGAAAAAAAAAAAAUCAGGGACACACUUCUCUAAUUUCGGUGAGUUGUCGUGCUAACAAUAAAAAUAAGAUAAUUAAAACGCGCACUUGAAUGAAGAGGAAAAGAAUCUCAUUAGAGUGAUGACAGAAACUCUGAACUCUAUUGAGGGAGAAAUUUUAAAGGGAAGUCGCAGUCUAAAUUGAGGAGUGAGGUGGGUGGUGAGAGGGAGGAAAAGGGAAAGGACGAAGAGGUAAUGAAAUUUAAGUAGUGGGGGAAAGGAAACGGAUAAAAAAAAACUAGUUGGAGAGAAAAACUGUUAGGAUUUUGGAGAAUUUAGAAAAGAGAAGGAUAAAGGAGAAUGGAGACGAGAAAGAAGAAAAAGAAGGAAAAAAGUUAUAAUGGAGUAAAUAAAAUAAAAACUGGAGGUAAAGGAAAUAGAUUUAGAGAAGGAAGGAAAGGAAAAAAAGAAGGAAGGUAUAGGAAAAUGAAGCGGAAAUGAAGAAAGAGAAGGAAGUGAAAUCAUAGCGAAGAGACAAAGGAUAAAUACUGAGGAUGAGAGAAAAGGAAAAUGAAAAGGUAAAAGAAACGCGUGGGAAGGAAAGAAGGAAGGAAAUAAAAAAUGAAAGAAAGGAAGAGAAGAAGGAAUAUAGUGAAGUGAAAACGAGAAAUAACGAACGAGCGUAGAAUGAAGCAAAACAAAAAUGUAAGAUGAGGGAAACAGAUAAGAAGAGAGGAGGGGGAGUACGAAAAAGAGUAGGAGGAAGAGGAGGAGUUGAAUAAUAGCUAGGCCUGCCAGGAUAGAGAUGCUUAACUUGCGCUGAAUAGAAUUAGGAACACGCUCGCUCUCCCGGCCUGAAAAGAAGAAUCUAGUACUGCGCUGAAAGGGAUUGGAGGACAGGGAAUAAGAGAUGAACCUUCUCUGCUUGGCCCGGGAAAAAGAAAGAAAAAAGAAAAAGAGAGAGAGAGAGAGAGAGAGAGAGAGAGAGAGAGAGAGAGAGAGAGAGAGAGAGAGAGAGAGAGAGAGAGAGAGAGAGAGAGAGAGAGAGAGAGAGAGAGAGAGAGAGAUUUUCCCCUUUGAGCCCAUAGACAAGCCACGUAUCUCAUGUUUUCCUCAUUUUUUGUGUGUAAGCGAGAGAGAGAGAGAGAGAGAGAGAGAGAGAGAGAGAGAGAGAGAGAGAGAGAGAGAGAGAGAGAGAGAGAGAGAGAGAGAGAGAGAGAGAGAGAGA